GAGCGCCGUAGCAAUACGGAGCGGCAGACGGGAGAGUAACACGUGGGAACGUGCCCUUCAGUUCGGAACAACCCCAGGGAAACUUGGGCUAAUACCGGAUACGUCCGUAAGGAGAAAGAUUUAUCGCUGAAGGAUCGGCCCGCGUCUGAUUAGCUAGUUGGUGGGGUAAUGGCCCACCAAGGCGACGAUCAGUAGCUGGUCUGAGAGGAUGAUCAGCCUCACUGGGACUGAGACACGGCCCAGACUCCUACGGGAGGCAGCAGUGGGGAAUAUUGGACAAUGGGCGCAAGCCUGAUCCAGCCAUGCCGCGUGGGUGAUGAAGGCCCUAGGGUUGUAAAGCCCUUUCGGCGGGGAAGAUAAUGACGGUACCCGCAGAAGAAGCCCCGGCUAACUUCGUG
rnacentral:rRNA from 1 species